GAUGAACGCUGGCGGCGUGCCUAAUACAUGCAAGUCGAGCGAAUGGAUUAAGAGCUUGCUCUUAUGAAGUUAGCGGCGGACGGGUGAGUAACACGUGGGUAACCUGCCCAUAAGACUGGGAUAACUCCGGGAAACCGGGGCUAAUACCGGAUAACAUUUUGAACCGCAUGGUUCGAAAUUGAAAGGCGGCUUCGGCUGUCACUUAUGGAUGGACCCGCGUCGCAUUAGCUAGUUGGUGAGGUAACGGCUCACCAAGGCAACGAUGCGUAGCCGACCUGAGAGGGUGAGCUGCCACACUGGGACUGAGACACGGCCCAGACUCCUUCGGGAGGCAUAAGUAGGGAAUCUUCCGCAAUGGACGAAAGUCUGACGGAGCAACGCCGCGUGAGUGAUGAAGGCUUUCGGGUCGUAAAACUCUGUUGUUAGGGAAGAACAAGUGCUAGUUGAAUAAGCUGACACCUUGACGGUACCUAACCAGAAAGCCACGGCUAACUACGUGCCAGCCGCCGCAGUAA
rnacentral:rRNA from 1 species